UACGUAGGUGGCAAGCGUUGUCCGGAAUUAUUGGGCGUAAAGCGCGCGCAGGCGGUUCCUUAAGUCUGAUGUGAAAGCCCACGGCUCAACCGUGGAGGGUCAUUGGAAACUGAGGAACUUGAGUGCAGAAGAGGAGAGUGGAAUUCCAAGUGUAGCGGUGAAAUGCGUAGAGAUUUGGAGGAACACCAGUGGCGAAGGCGAUUCUCUGGUCUGUAACUGACGCUGAGGCGCGAAAACGUGGGGAGCGAGCAGA
rnacentral:misc_RNA from 1 species